UACGGGGGGGGGCAAGCGUUGUUCGGAAUUACUGGGCGUAAAGGGCUCGUAGGCGGCCAACUAAGUCAGACGUGAAAUCCCUCGGCUUAACCGGGGGAACUGCGUCUGAUACUGGAUGGCUUGAGGUUGGGAGAGGGAUGCGGAAUUCCAGGUGUAGCGGUGAAAAUGCGUAGAUAUCUGGAGGAACACCGGUGGCGAAGGCGGCCCCCUGGGCCGUACCUGACGCUGAGGCGCGAAAGGCUAGGGGAGCGAACGGGG
rnacentral:rRNA from 1 species